rnacentral:rRNA from 1 species
UACGGAAGGGGGCUAGCGUUGCUCGGAAUUACUGGGCGUAAAGCGCACGUAGGCGGCUUUCUAAGUCGGGGGUGAAAUCCUGGAGCUCAACUCCAGAACUGCCUUCGAUACUGGAGAGCUCGAGUCCGGGAGAGGUGAGUGGAACUGCGAGUGUAGAGGUGAAAUUCGUAGAUAUUCGCAAGAACACCAGUGGCGAAGGCGGCUCACUGGCCCGGUACUGACGCUGAGGUGCGAAAGCGUGGGGAGCAAACAGG